rnacentral:ncRNA from 3 species
GUUAUGAUCAAAGCGCCAGGACCGAUUAUUUAAUCGGUUGACGAGGAGAGGGUUAAUCGAGCUUUCGGCGGAUUCCCUCCGGUAUUGCCACAACCGACAAGGUAUUUCAAAACCGCAAAGCAAUUUGCGGGACAAAAGAUAUCUGGUGGUAUAG